rnacentral:rRNA from 1 species
AACGAACGCUGGCGGCAGGCUUAACACAUGCAAGUCGAGCGCCCCGCAAGGGGAGCGGCAGACGGGUGAGUAACACGUGGGAACCUACCCUUUUCUGCGGGAUAGCUCUGGGAAACUGGAAUUAAUACCGCAUACGCCCUACGGGGGAAAGAUUUAUCGGAGAAGGAUGGGCCCGCGUUGGAUUAGCUAGUUGGUGGGGUAAUGGCCUACCAAGGCGACGAUCCAUAGCUGGUCUGAGAGGAUGAUCAGCCACAUUGGGACUGAGACACGGCCCAAACUCCUACGGGAGGCAGCAGUGGGGAAUAUUGGACAAUGGGGGCAACCCUGAUCCAGCCAUGCCGCGUGAGUGAUGAAGGCCUUAGGGUUGUAAAGCUCUUUCACCGGUGAAGAUAAUGACGGUAACCGGAGAAGAAGCCCCGGCUAACUUCGUGCCAGCAGCCGCCGUAAAAC